ACAGUGCAGGAGGAGAUUGCGCUAAUCUCCAGAGACAGUCUCUGGUUUCUACAAGGACUCCCCCCAGACCUUCCCCCACCCCUUGCCCUCUGGGCUGCUGGGGAGGGAGACUUGGGAAAGGCACCAGAGGCUGGGAGGGUGCAGCUGGACUCCUCAGGGACUCGGUGGUUUUUUUGCAAUAGAGGCCUUCCUAUUACGUGUCGCAGAUGGGGUGCAGAGGGCAGCGCUCCAGGGCUCACAUGCCGGACUCUGUUUCCUUGGGCAUAGGACACGGUACCACCUCGCUCUCGCGCCCCCUCGCCACUAGGGCUGUGGCACAGAGGGGACAAACACCCUCAAGGCCUAGUGCCAGGUAAUUACCAAGCAAAUUCCCGGCGAUUUCCUUUCCUCCCCCGGGCAGUGCCUGCUGCGUGUUCCCUGAUUCGGGCCCCGGCUGUGCAAUCAAGACCAGGUAACCUGCGGGGACCCGUAAUUGCUCUGGAGUUGCCUGGGACUUUGCAAGGUACAAGUUGUUGGAGCUUAUGUUACCUGAGUCCCUGAAUGACCAUGUGGAGCAGAUUGCCUGCAGUUACGUCCUGGCCAUGUUGUAUUAGAGCCCUUGUUCUUCAGAAGUGGAAUCCUAUGCAAAGGGAAGUGGGCAUUAUUCUAACAAGAGGAGAAGUCCUCAUUGGCCAGCAGAAAGAAGAAAGCACCGUAGGUGCUCGGUGACUGCAGGUGAACUGUGGAAGGAAAGAAGAGCUGGUGCCAACGAAGCCAUGCCCAACUGGUUCCUUGAACAUGGGCUACUCUCUGGAAGGAUGUCUUCAAAAAGGAGCAAAAGGAAUUGUUGAGGGGACUCACAAAGCCAUGCUGUCAGUUCUUUCAAAGAAAGAAUUUCAUCCUCCGAGAGCCCACUUAGAGUGAGAAGGGCCAUCUUGGUGAGGUAACCUGCUCUGUCGGUCGCUAGUCCAUUCCCUCACUGAUGGCUUCAUAGCCUGCCUCCCCACGUGGUUCCCUCUGCGCCCUGCAUGCUCUCCGUGCCCCCUGUGCCCCAGUAGGUCAGCAGGCUGUCUCUUCCAUUUUUGUCUGUUUCAGCUAACAGGUCUCCGACAGGCAGGCAGUUGUGGCUCAGCAGGGUCUUUCCCUUCCCAGGAAGAUGGCCAUGUCCACAGAGAGGCUGCCUCUCUCCUCCCUGGAGGGUCCUGAGUGUAUGAAUCAGAGCCUGGGUUUGGAGACCAUGUGGUCACACCCCAGGGUGCAGCUGACAUGGAGCCUGCUCUGAUUUAGGAGAGGAAGAAAGUGCUCUCAAAAUCACAGAUGGAAAUUGCUUACGUCUCUGUCCUCCUUGAUCCCUCACUUACUGGAAAGGAACAGAGAAUUCUGAACAUAUCCUUUCUAAGGAGAUGCUCCUGGCAAACUCUCUUCCAGAGUCUGAGAAUUAGAGUCCAUCUGAAGCUUGCAAUUCAGUUGCUCCAACAGCGAGGGACCUUCGGGUGGGCUGGGGAGUUCACCCAGGGUUUAUAGUCCAUGCUUUCCUCUGAUUUUUCAUCCUUGCCAAUCUGGGAGCCUGAAAUGGGUUUUAAUAAUGGGGGGUCCUUUGUGUUCCGACUGUAGAGGUGAUUUGUGGGUUUCCUGACUUCACCUCUUCAUUGGCAACCCCCAAAAUGAGGCUGACGGCAGAGGAGAGGAAAUGAGGGAGGAGGAGGGGAGUCGAGAUGGGUGUGUUCAAGUGAGGCUGAGAGUCCCUAUUUUCUCCAUUCCUCCCACAAAUGACCUCAUUCAUUAUGGAAAAGGUUUAACUGAUAUUGAGUCAUAACAUGUGAGAGGGAGCAGGAGCUCCGUCGAUACCUCUCGGGAGCACCUGGAGGCUGUGGAUUGCAAGGGGGAGGUAGAUGAGGAGGGAGCUGAGGGGGAGGAGAGGAGGUGGGUUAGAAGAUGAUCUGGCCUGAGAAGUGGCUCUGGAGCAUCUGUGCUUUUGUUAGCCAUGGAAUAUGCACAUCUAAUCUCAAUUAACUUCUGCCACCAUCUCCGAUUCAGCUUCUCUGUUCAGGCCGGUGACGAGACCUUAGCUGCAGGAGACAGGGAUGGGGGAGACCUCCCAUUACCUAGGUGAGAGAAGCAGAUGGGCUCACCUUGCCAGGGCACUGGUGGUGGAGAAGAGGCCGAGGCAGCAGCUGGGUUAUUUCCCCAAGCUCUUGCCCCGCCCGCAGCUUUGUGAGUCCAAGCUUAUGGGAGGAAUGAAGUGGAGCCUCCUAACAAGUGCCAUUUAUGCACAAGAAAAGUAUUGUAGGAAUGAGCCUCCAGGUUUUCCCUGUGAAGCCCAAUGGAUGAGCUUGCCCGGGGCCCAAGAGCUACUUUUAUGGGCUUUGGUUUCCUCUGCUGAACAAAGAAUUUGAUCAAGGAUUCUACAAUUGCAUCAUCCACAUUUGGUAGCUCGGAGUGACAUGUGGCUAUUUGAAUCUGAAUUAAUUAAAAUUAAAUUUAUUAAAAGAUUCUGCCACUCACACUACCACAUUUCAAACGCUCCACAGCCCACAUGUGGCUAGUGGCUACUAGGUCAGGCAGACUGAAUAGAAAAUAAAAAAAAAUACCAUCCUAAAAUUUUGUUGGACAGUGUUCAUAUACAAGGUUCUUACAAUGCUGCCACUGUGUUAUUCUAUCAUUAUCCAUUAUUAAGAGUCCUGCAGGACUAGUUCCUUUGGCUUUGUGAGCUUCCUCUUCCCACCAGCUCCUCUCAGCUGCUACCACAUACGCAGCACACAGUACACACACAGACAGAUCACACGUGAGCACACGCACACUGCUGUCUUCCAAUAGGGCAGUGUUGAGAAAUCUGGUUUCCUGGCUUAGGAACACCGAGAAGAGAUAUCUGCACUCUUGUUUUUAUUGCGGUAUUUUCACAACAGCCAAGUUAUAAAAACAACUUCCAUGUCCAUUGGCAGAUGAAGCAAAAGAGAAAAAUGGUGGUGUAUAUACUCAAGGGAAAACUACUCAUCCUUAAAAAACAAGGAAACUUGGCCACUUGCGACAAUGUGAAUGAACCCGGAGGACAUUAUGAUAAGGUGAAAUAAAGCAGACACAGACAAAUAUUGCAUGAUCUCACUUGUAUGUGGAACCUAAAAAUGUCAAAUGCACUGAAACAAUACGGUUACCAGGGACAGGGGAGAGGGAAAAGACGUGUUUGUCCACGAGUACAAACUUUCAGUUGUAAGUUCUGAAGAGCUAACAUACGGCCUGGUGAUUCUAGUUAAAGUAGUAUAGACUUAAAAUAUACUUUGAUAAAAGAUAUAUAACAAGAGGCCACUGUGUAUACCUUAAAUGCACACAUUUUUAUUUGGAAAAUCUCAAAAAAACUGUCAGCUACAAUGGCCCAUGCCUGCAAUCCCCAGAGCCUCAGGAGGUUGAGAAAGGAGGAUUGCCAAUUUAAGGCCAGCCUCAGCAACUUAGCGAGACGACACUGCCUCAAAAUAAAAUUUACAAAAUGGCUGAGGAUAGAGCUCUGCCCCUGGGUUAAAUCUACAGUGACACGCACACACAGCACCAGGGGGAGAAAAGAAUAACUCUUGCGUGGGUGCAGCUCCUGACUUCUUAAUGUUAGACUUUGUGCUUCCUAUACUUCGCCCUUACAGAUGUUUUCUGAGUGCCUACUGUGUGUCAGGCAUCAUUCCCAGUGGACUGGGGUGUGGAGUUUGGGGGAGAUCCUGUAUUUUAGGUAGUUCUUUUGCAGGAGAGUCAGUGCUGGGAGUGUUGGCGGCCACUUGCUCGUAAUGGCAGAGAGUGGUGCAGGCACAGCCUUGGCCUCUGGGGGCUCGCUCUGUACAAACAACUCCUGACUCCGUAAACCCUUUACAUAAACAACACGGAGGCUGCACCACACUGGUGGUUAUAGACUGUGAUGAGUACCUUAUUGGAGUCAUGCCAGUGUGUCCUGCAGGGGCAGAUGAAAGAAAGGCACUGUCCCUCUGGGCCUCAGUUUCCCCCUGCAAAGUGAAGUGGGGGGCUUGGCAAGCGCUAGGAUUCUCUUGCUAAGGUUCUCUCCUCUAGGACUGGAGAUGUCUGAAAGCUCUGCAGAGGAAAGGGCUUACUACCUGCGAGUUGCAGGUUACAUGGGUUUUUCUCUAUUUCCCAACAGUGCUGCCCUUUACUUCUUUGAAAUCCUGAGGAGGCCUAGAGGCUCUUGCCUUUCUCCGGGCCUCCCUCCUUGCUUCCCUCCCUCCUUUCAGGUUGCACAGCCCCAGCCUAGUUCUUGUCAUAUUUCCUACCGGAUCGGGCGUUUAAUUAAAAUCAUAAUUAAAAUUGAUCUCCUCAUUAGCAUGCACCUGCUCUGCCUCUCACAUCCUUGCGUUCCAUUAUCCACUGAAGAUGUCAGGACUGACAGGCGAGAGCCAGACCCCAGGCCAGCCCAGCCGGAUGGGGCUGGCCGAUGACAACAUCUGGAUGGAAGACUUCAGCGGAGAAGCUGCGUUUGCAAUCGAACAACAAACAACGACCACUGGGAGGGCUGUCUGGGGGAGGCUGGGCUGUGUGGUGGGCUGCCGGCAGCCAGCUGGAUCUGGUGGUCCUACUGGAAGCAGAGCUCUCACUCCUUCCUCCUUACCCGUAACCGUGUGCACCUGCGUGCACACGCGCGGACACAUACACCUUGGGUGAUCUGUGACAAGCCAACAGACUUCUUGCCUGGGCGUGUCUAGAGAACAGGCUCCCUGAUUUCCUUGAGGCGGAACCUGAUGGUACCCUCAAAGAGCCUCCUGCAGGGCUAGGUUUGACCUCCAUCAUGAUUGCCCUCCAGGAGGCGCCACUGAUCGAAGGGCAGGCAACCAGGCUGAUGGCUGGCCAACCCCUCCUUCCUAGCUGAGAACAGUGCCGAGCGCAAAGUGCAGAAGUGUCAGGUCUGAGUGUGCAAAGCAGGAGAGUCCUGACAGCUUGUUGCCAUCUUCCCUCCAGGGAAAGUGGAGAGGGCCAGGUGGAGGAAACCAGCAAGGACAUAACCUAGUGGGCCUUCCAGCAUGCAAGAAGGCAAGCUCCACGAGAGUGUGAGCAUUUAAAAAUACGUCAAUUUAAUUGUGGUAAAAAACACAAACAUUUACUGUCUUAACCACGUCUAAUGGCACACUUUGGUAGUGUUAAAUAUAUCAUAUUGUUGUGCAACUAAUCUUCAGAACUUUUUAAUUUUGCGAAGCUGAAACUCUGUUCCUGUUCUUCCUAUCUCCCAAGUAACCACUGUUCUACUUUCUAAAGUUUUUAUUAAUUUGACUACUCUAGGUAUACCUCAGGUAGGUGGAAUCACAUAGUAUUUAUCUUUUUUGUGUGUGUGACUGGCUUAUGUUACUUAAUUUAACGUCCAUAAGUUUCCUCCAUGUUGUGGCAUGUGCCAAAUUUUCCUCUUUAAGGCUGUGUAAUAUUCCACUGUGUGUAUACAUAUAUAUGUGUGUAUAUAUACAUGUUGUGCAUAUACAUAUGCACAACAUUAUAUCUAUAUCUAUAUCUAUAGCUGACAUUUUCUUUAACCACUCAUAUGUUGAUGGACACUUGAGUAACUUCUACCUCUUGAAUACUGGGAUUAAGAAGAUGGAUGUGCAGUAUUUCUUCAAGACCCUGUUUCCAGUUCUUUAUCUGUAUACCCAGAAGUGGGAUUGCUGAUUCAUGUGGUAAUUCUAUUUUUAAUUUUUUGAGGAACUGUUGUACUGUUUCCAUAGCUGCUGCACCAGUUUUCAUUAUUACUAGCCGAGCACAUGGUUCUCAUUUUUCUCUCUUGUUGCCGACACUUGUUCUUGUUCUUCUCCCACUGCCCCACUAUGGCCAUUGUAUUGGAUGUUAGGUGAUAUGUCAUUGUGGUUUGGGUUUGUCUUUCCCUGAGGCUUAGUGAUAUUAAGCAUCUUUCCCACAUGUUCCAUCAUGUUUUGCAAAUCCUGUGCAAGAUUUGUAUUACCAAUCUAAGCCAAAUUGACCUCACAUGGGGGAUGAAGGGAAUUUAGGUUUGGGGUUGGAACUUCAUUCAUAUCCCAUAGCUCUGCCAGCUCAUGGCCCGUGGUCCUGGGCAAAUUACGUCUCUAAGCCUCAGUUUGUAAGCAUGAGAAGUGGGAAUCACAAUAUUUACCUAAUAAGAUGGUCUCAAGGAAGAAACGAGGAAACAGGCCCUAUAAUUGGUUAUUCCUUUUCUUGUUCAUCUUCCUAGUGACUCUGAAAUUUUGAUGAUAGCAUUCUACAAAUGACAAGAACACAAGAACUUACUUUAUCCCUUACGUAAAGCAAAUGUGCCUAUUGCACACAUGUAAGGCACGGGCCCCUUCAUCAGGGAAAAGGCUUGGGGUGACCAGGAAAUGUGAGGCCAGAGCAAGGAGGGGACACCCGUAGCUGGAGCCACCUGAGUGGGUUAAUCAGGAUAGGCCAAGGGAGUACCCUGAUGCGGGGAGGGCAAGCCUUGACUGGGAUUGGGUUUCCCACCCAGUGGGGGUGAACAAGAGGGUGGAGCAGGGCAGAACAAGAUGAAAACCGGUGAGGACCAAUUUUACUGCAGAAGGAUACGUGAAAAUUAUCCAGGGAUGCAAAGCCCUAUCACCAGGAGGAACAUUUUCCUGUGGGCUACUUAAAUUCCUUCUCCUGGAAUUGAAAUUUGUUUUCUCUCCUGCAGUCUUUGGGGAAGGAGAGAAAUGCUAAUUACCCUCCUCCAUUACCCUUCAUUGAUUUAGGGCUGGGGAGCUCUGCCAUGGCUGGGCUUCCUUCCCUCCCAACACUUCCCCCACCCGCCCAUGGACUAACUAGGGCUCAGCCAGCGUCCAAUAAGCAACAGGGCAGCUCUAGCUUACAGUGCUCCUCCAGAGUUCCUCCUCCCGCCCCUUCCACAGUCCCUCUCCUCCUUCACACCUCCUGUCUCCAGUGUCUGUCUUUGGGAGCUCAGGGCAGAGGUCACCCUCCAGGGAGAGAUGAUUACCCAAUCCUGCCCAGGUGGGCUCACCUCUGCUCCUCCCUGGAGCAGCCAGCAGGCAGCCUGAGAGCCCUGGGAAGCCAGGUCAAGUGCAGACGUUGUAGGAGCAGGAGCCAGGGGGCCAGGUGUCCACCAGGGAGGUGAUUAGCUCCACGGUGCCUCCAAUGAUAAUCUGCACCGUGAACAAACAGCACCGCGGAGGAGGCGUCUGCAGGCCUGAGCGCUGGCUGUCUCUGUCCUUGUUAGGGUGAGAGGAGGAGGGAGACCUUGCUAAUUGCCGACUUACCAUGAUUACCACCAGCUCCCAGCCCCGUGAGCUACAGGAGGCAACGCAAGGAUCAGUGGAGAGACUUGGAGGGACUGAGGGAUGGUGGACCUUGGGGACUCAACUUGCGAGAAAACCCUGGAAUUCAAAAAGUCAGUUCAUCCAUCGAUCCGUAUUGACCAGCUGCAAUGUCUUCUAUAGAACCUACAGAGCAGGCUUGAAUUUCAUUUUUUAAAAGAUGUGAGAUGAGCCGACAGAGAUGACUCUCAGCCUAACUCAUCACAGGACCCCCCUUCAGGCUCACCCACGCUCGCGCUUGCGUGUGCACACACACACACACACACACACACACACACACUCAUACGCUCUUGGCUCUGAGCCCUCCAUGUUAGACACUCUAUAAAUAUCCAUCUCAUUGAACUAAGAUGGAAAUUGGACCUGGAGAGAGAGAGGCUGUGGCUGUUUUCGCUCCAGCUGUCCUGGCUCCUUUGCUGUGUGGUCCUAUGGCUCUCUGGGAAGGUGGAGGAUGCAGAGGUGAGGCCGGGAGGACCUGCCUUAGCCACCAUGGGGGCAGCAGCAAAGGCCAAAUCAGUGCAAGGCAGGCAGGGCUUGGACAGACGCCCUGGCCAGCUUUAAAAUGAAAGCAAGUGCCGAGCUUUAGGAGGAUGGCAGGAGAACCCUGGCUAACCACACAGGACACACCCAGACCAAGCCCUGGGGACAGGAACCCCACAGACUGGGUGGGGAGCUGAGGUGUGGGCACCCGGGAUCAAUGAAUGUUAAUACAGGCAAAUUUUGGCAAUGCAGUCCUCUGAGGUUGGCUUCUGAUUAAGAAUGAACUAAUCUGAGCCCUGUGGAUGAUAAUUUUAAGACCUCAAAGGGGUCCCUGGAAAUAAGAAGCUUUUUGGAGGAUACUGUAAAGGAAUGUAGAAUUUUUCUCCCUGUUUGUUUGGGGGAAGUGUGUCAUGUAGCCAUCUCCCUGUUGGUCAUGUGCAGUCUACUGUCUCUGACUUCUGGGAAGGGCAUGGGGCCAGCAGUCCUUGCUGGCUGGCCCCAUGCCGCAAUUAGGCUGGGACCUACCCCAUCUUCUGCAACUGCUUAGACUUUUCCUUAAACUCCCCCAGCCCCAAUCCCCUCUGCCCUCACUUCUGUAAACUGCAUUGCUGCCAACAAUGGCUUGGAACCCCACCCCUUCCCUAGGUCCCCAAGUCUGACAUCCCCUAAGAUCUGAUCUAUGGCAGUAGGCUAGUGGUAGUUCCACAGAAAAAUAAUGAAAAGAUGAAUUAUCAUUUGUGACAUUCCUAAUAUAAGUCAGGACCCUGAACCAAGCACUUAAUACAUGAGAUACUGUAUUUCCUUUUAACCAUCUCAUGAAGGAUUGCUUAAUCAUUUUAUAAGAACUGAUUUACAAAUGAGGAAACUGAGGCUCAGAAAGGUGGCAGAACUUGCCCCAGGUCACUCAGGUGCCAAGUUGCAAACCUGGGAUUUGAACUCCGAGGCGUGUGUUCUUCCUCCUACAGGGGAAGGUCCAGUUCCUGGGCUUGUCCUUUCUCCUACUUGUCACAGUAGUUCAGGGUCUGGCCUGGAUCCAUCAUUCCUCGCACCCUCCCCGAGCCUGGUCGCUAGCCCCAGAUGCCAGAAGCGUGGUUCUUCACCCCGUGGAAAGCACUUCACCUUCACUGUACCCAAAGACCCACCAUCAGUGCUCCUCGUCAUGUGGCUUCUCUCUCCCUCUCUCUCUUUUUAUGGUUUCAUUAUGAAACUAAUGAAAAGAGACAUUGAAGGAAGUCACUGUAAUAUCUUAUUUUCUUCCCUUGUUUUUGGAGAAACAGAGUUAGACAACCUCAAAGCAUUUUCCAAGCUGUCAGAGGGUAGUGGGGGCGGGGGGAAUGCUGUGUUCUCUUCUACAAUUGGUGCCCAAGUGAGAAGGCCAGAGAGGUUUCUCUGGGGGGUUCUGUCAACAGGAUGUCCCUUUCUCAGGGCUCCAUGCCCUUCCCUGGGGACCUUCACUUGGCUCAUCUUUUCCCAGCCUCUUCCCCUAGUGGCCCUGCCCUGAGCACAUAAGUCAGAGGUGGGCUCCAGCCUGGCCAUCAGAGCUGGCCACUUGCCCACAGCACACUUCUACCCCGAAUGGGCUGGCCCUUAAAGUGUCCCCUUGGUGUCUGGUGCUCUUCUGAAUGCCUUAUUGCAUCCACCCAUUCAAUCCUCACGACAAUCCUGCAGGCUGUGUAUUGUUCCCAUUUUACUGUUGAGAAAAUGGAGACUCAGAAGAGCGAAGUGACUGUCCAGGGCCAUGGCUGGCGGUAGGACAUGGGCCUUGACUGCCUUGGGUCCACAGCUCAAGCUUGGGACUGGUUGCUGGGGACGCUUAGAGAUGAUUUCUGUUUGUUUGUUUUGUUCGUUGGCAGGCUGGCCUAGGAAACUUUCUACUGUGAAGAACGCGGCUCCACAUGCCAAGUUCCAAACAGCUGAUGUAUUAAUGAGCAGAGCUGUGGUCCUCCUGCUCUAUUGUGCCCCCCUCAGCACUUGAACAAAAGGCAGGCUCCAUGGGUGUUGGGUGGGUGGUGAUUGAAUUGAAUUUUUACCCACAGGAAAUUCCAUGGGCUUCCACCACUGCUGAGGUUGGAAAAGGGGAGGAGGGACAGAGGUGUGGUGGUCUGUGAAUGGGUGCCCCUCCCCGGUCGGGGGGAGUUCGUCCUAGAACACAGGCUCUGCUUAUUCCUUGGGGGCAGUACUAUUUUUUUAAAAAAAUAUAUUUUUUAGUUGUUGAUGGGCCUUUAUUUUAUUUAUUCAUAUGUGGUGCUGAGAAUCGAACCCAGUGCCUCACACAUGCUAGGCAGGUGCUCUACCACUGAGCCACAACCCCAGCCCCAAUACUGUUCCUUCCUUGCAGUGCUGAGGGUGGAACCCAGGGCCCUGCACAUGCCAGGCAAGCCCAUGCCACACCCCCAGCCCUCGGGUGGGUUUGAGGCAGGGAUACAUCUGACAUUGGUGAAGCAGAUGUGUACUCUCCUUCUCCACCUGGCACAUCCUUCCUUCCUCUCCUUCACCCUGAGAACCUGGCCACUUCUGGAGAGAACAGGUCUGCAGGAUGAACUGAACUGGCCUUGGGGCCACACUAGCUUCUGUACUUGACUUUCCAGGUUGCAGCUCAGGGUCUCAACCGAAGAGAGAAGAGCAAACCAAAGGAAGCUGAACUUCUGUGCCCCACCUAGGAGGGAGGUCAAGUCGUCUGCAGAGACACACAGGGCUUCACUUUGUGAGAGUCUCCUAUUUCGAAAUAAGGAGACAGGGUAAAUCCUCCAGUCUUACCAGCUCUCCUGAGGCAGCUCUGGAGUUUCUGGAGACAUCACGUUCCCUGCUUAUUCCUGGAGAAACCUCAAUUCCAGGUACUGGCCCUCUGUGGCGAGGGUGGGAUUGGGCAUUGGGUAGGACUUGGGGGGCUGGGCAUUGAAAAGACUGCAAGUUUGAAAGCUCAGAUGAGGAGGUGGUGGAGACAGGCUGGCAAGGAAGCAGGCAGGUUUGUUAGUCUUUUCCUCAGGGUGGUGACUUUGGGCCUUUAGCGACUCACUGAGCCAAUAGUAGCCUUUGAGAACACAAAGGAGGCUUCUGGAAAGUCACGGGAGCCGCAGGACAUCACUGCAAAGGAAUGCUGAUCUGGUCCCCCAGGCCUAAACCCACAAGGUGUGUUAAAAAAGAUCAGCUUUUCUUGUGGGGUUUAUUCAUUUCUCCUCUGAGUAGCAGAAGUUUGGCAACACGUAGUAAAGUUGGAGAUUUGUUCCCAGCAAACUCCACUCUUAGGCAUAACUCCCAUAUAACAUUGAGAGAGAUACAACCAAAGGAAUCAAAGCAGGAAACAAAAAAAAAAAAAAAGGAAAGAAAGAACCUAAAUUUCCAUCAAUAGGAGAAUGGAUAAAUAAGUUGUCAUUUCGUAUUUCAUUCAAUUGAAUUCUUUACAGUAAUAAAAAUGAAUGAAGUUGAGCUGUGUGUAUGAACAUGGAUGACUCCUACAAACAAUGUGGAGCUAAAAAAACAAAUUACUAAAGAAUAGACAAUAUACAUGGCAACACUGCUUAUGAAAGUUGUAAAUGAUGCAAAAUCAUACUAUGUGCAUUUUAGGAAUAAUGCAUAGGAAUUUAAACACCAAAUUCAAAAGAGUAAGAAUAGGGGGCAGGAGGAUUUAGGGGUUGGGAGGGAGGAAGGGAAGACAGUAUUUGGGCAUCCAACUUUUUUGAGGAAUGUUUUCAUUAUGAUACUAUGAGAUGGACACAAAGGUAUCUAUCAGAUUCUUUAAAAUGUUUGAAUGUUUGAAUUGAAGUACUUCAUAAGAAGCAAAAAUAUAAAAAUCCAAACAAUUAAGGGCCCCUGUCAGCACUCCCCAUAAGUAUCAGAAUGUGUAUGUGCUUUUGUGUGUGUGAGUGUGUGUGUGUGUGUGUAUGUUGGGCAAUGGAGGAGGGGCUGAUAUUUGGGCCAAGAGUGCUGGAGAAGACUUCAAAUAGACAGUCCACAGCUGGCUCCUAAGAAGUUUCCUGUGUUAAAUACUUAUUCAACAAAGUUCUCCUCCUCACAUAAUAUUUGCCUACGUAAGGAGCUAAAUAUUCAUUGAGUAAUUAGCCAGUUCAAAUUUGUGGUAUAAAAAGACAAUUCCUUCUAAUUAUAGGGAUGUCAGUUAAAAGAUGCCACACUCAGAUGCCAUUCACUGCCAAGAGAGAUUUAAUAAAUUCUCUCUGUGAUUCAGAUUCAAAAAGGUAAAAAAGAAAAAAAAAUACAGACACCAUUAUUUUUGAUAAUUAAAUACUUACCAGAGCCGAGAAAAUAAGUCACACUAAUGUUCUAGGCUAAUCAAAAGCUCUUUUUUAAAAGGUCCCUGUAGAAAUAUUGCUGUGGUCACAGAUUUGCUGUCAGUCAGAGUUUCUGGGCUAACCCCAGCAUCAUGGCAGACUUUUCUGACUAUCUGUAGCUGGCUCUGACCAGUCCUGACUCCAACCACAGACAGUCCUUAGGUAUCCAUCCCUCUUGGAGAUGUCAUUUAAUUUGCAUUACUUUCUGUUUUGCCAUUGUAAAUAGUUCCACUAUGUAUUUUUUCCCUACCUUCUCAAUUCAGUUCUCAGUGUCAUGACUGUAGAGCCUGGUCUUUUUUUAGGUGAUAGAGUUGGGAAACUCAGAGCUAUGUCAUUUUUACUCCAACUUGCUUUACCUAAAGAAAGCUCAAAAAAAAAAAAAUGACUUAAUUUGUGUGUUAGCUGGUGUGGUAGAAAUUGCACGCUGACUGCAGUCCCAACUCUGGUACUUCUCAACUCUGAGACUUUGACCGAGUGCUUCACUCUCUCUCAGUCUCAGUUUUGCUGCAUGGUCAGCAUGGGAACCAUUCUGUCUCCACCUCUCCUCCUGGCCUUUCCCAGGGCACAUGCCCAGGAUCACAGUGGUUUGAUCCAGGGAUAGUACUUCAUGCACACUGGGCCAAUCUAAGAAUUUUGCCGUGACUGAGGAAGCCAGUCAGAUUCCUGUCUAGUUAAAGAUGCUAUAGAAUAAGAAGUUAAGAAACACCCUAAUUGUAAUGUGUCACUUCAGAUUGGAUUUGACUGUGUUUAAAUAGUCUGCUCCUCUCCCCUGCCUCCAUGCCACAAAAAAAAAAAAAAACCUAAACAGAAAGCAAUGGCUAAAGCAAAAUAGAUAUGCAUGUUGCUGUCAUGUGAUAGAAGUCCAGAGGUAGCAGUGACAGGCAGGGCAGAGAACUCCUUAGAUCAGACUACUAACUUUCUGCUCUUCAUCCUCAGUGUGCAUUCCCAGCUUCAGUCACCUCUGGUUCCAAUAAGGAUGCAGGAACAUCAAAGAUAUCUUUGCAUUCCAGGCAGCUGGAAACACAAAAGGAAUUAAAAGAGCAAGCCUCUCCAUUGUUUGUGUGUGUGUGUGUGUGUGUGUGUGUGUUUAAGUUUUAACUCUGCUUAUACUUUAUUGGACAGAACUGAGUCAUGUGGUCAAGCCUAGCUGCAAAGAAAGCUGGGAAAUGUAGUCUUUAAGCUGGGAACAUUUACUGCCCUAAAUAAAACAGACACUGUCACGAGGGAAGAAAAACUAAAUAUGUCUUGGAUUAGGUUACUAAUACUCUCUGCUACCUUGAGUAAGUCUGCUAUAUGGAUGAAGCUGGUCUGUUGUGGCAUGUUUGCAUUUGCCACUAUAUUAUAAAAUAUAUUCAGGAUCCUGUUAAUAAAUUUCUUCCUUAUUUCCUUUCACAUAAAAAAAGAUGUCAGAUUCUUACAACUAAGGGUUGCCUUGAUAUUUCUUUCUAAGACCUCUUUACAGCUCCAUGUCUCACUGGGCUUGGGAAAUAGAGUGAUUUACUGGUCUUCACAAGUGUUUUCCAGAGUCCUCAAUUCAUUCACAGAGUCACAUGAAAAGCUGACAGGGAGGGACCCUAACAGAUCUUAUUGGCAUACUGAUGACUUAAAUUAGAGAAAGGGCUUCUGUGUAGGUUGUCUUUGCCUUCUUGCCCUUUGAGCUAUUUGCCUUCUUUUUCAGGUCCUAAAGCCAAGGCUCCUGGGCUCGCUCCUGGAACAUUGCAGAGAACUUGGAGUUGGUUUCCGCUUCCUCAUUUCUUCCAGUGUUGUCUAAAAUUAUUGUCCUUUUUCUUUUCCACCCAAAAGUGUUCAGAGAGGACCUGAGCUUCAGAGAUUCAAGCUGGAAAACGGCUUCGUUCCCUGCUGCCUGGCACGACCUCAGGGGAUAUUUCUAGGAUCUACCUUCCAUGAAGAACACAGACUUACCCCAAUCUCAUGUGGUCUAAAGAUGAAACUUUCCGGGCCUGGGGAUGUGGCUCAAGCGGUAGCGCGCUCGCCUGG